rnacentral:rRNA from 1 species
GUACACGCUGUGACUAGCAUAUCAAUAAGCGGAGGAAAAGAAACUAACAAGGAUUCCCUUAGUAACGGCGAGUGAAGCGGGAAGAGCUCAAAUUUGAAAUCUUCAAGGUUUUACCUUGACGAAUUGUAGUUUAAAGAAGUGUUUUCUGCUGAAGUUUUGGUAAAAGUUCUUUGGAAUAGGACAUCAUAGAGGGUGAGAAUCCCGUAUUUGACCAUUAUUUUCAGCUUUGUGAUACACUUUCAAAGAGUCGGAUUGUUUGGGAAUGCAGUCCAAAAUGGGUGGUAAAUUUCAUCUAAAGCUAAAUAUUGGCGAGAGACCGAUAGCGAACAAGUACCAGUGAGGGAAAGAUGAAAAGAACUUUGAAAAGAGAGUUAAACAGUACGUGAAAUUGUCAAAAGGGAAGCGUUUGACACCAGUGUUGUUUUCUCGAAAAUCAAUUAAAAAUGGCUCGAUUUUGUAUUGCUGAGUACCUUAAAAGCUCACUGUACAUUUUUCGUGUCUUUUUUAAUGCACUUUUCGUUUAACAAGUCAACAUCAGUUUCUUUUGUUGUAAAAGGGUCAUUGGAAGGUGGCUUUCUUUUCGGAGAAGAGUGUUUAUAGCCUUUGGCCUCUGCAAUCGGAAGAGACUGAGGUCUGCAGCGUAGACUCUUCGGGGUUAGAUACAUUUGUGCUAAGUUAUAGCCUUUUCAUAGACAACUUGUUGACUAUAAUCAGUCAUGUAGCUUACUCGCUUAUGCUAUUUUACCUACGCUUAGGAUGUUGAUCUACAGAGCGAGAG